rnacentral:misc_RNA from 1 species
GAAGUGGGGGAUUUAUUCUACAAGGUAAUGCAGGUUCUGGCGUUGUUUGGAUUCAAAUGUUACAUGGCUUCUAGUUUCCCCAUUAUACCGUUCGUUUUGUUAGAAAUAUCUUAUGAAGUGAGUUAACUGAGCCAUUUACGAGAUGCUAAAAGGAUUGUCUAAAUAACGUAGCAUGUUGCCUAACUGAUACCAUUCCCUACACAAAGUCUGCAUUUUGAUAUUUAUAAUUGAUUCUACUCCAUUAGAGGAUGGGGUUCCUAGGAACGACAACAAAUUUUCUUUUGUGGCAUGUCUAUCCAUUAUGGUUGGAUAAGCUUAUCACUGAAUGAAGCUUUAACAGGUUUCUCUUCUAUUAAGUUCAAUUCAGUGUGUCUAUUAUUCUAAAAGAUCUCCAUAUCUACAUAUGAAAAACCAAAUUAUUAAAUAUAGAAACACUGGAACAGCAGCAGAAGUUUCCAUUAAGAAGCAGACCAAAAACCAUACACUUGUAACUCAUAAUUGCAGAGAACGUGAUCAUUAUAAUUGGGCAAGGAGGAUUAUUCAUAUGAUCUGGCAUAUGCUUUUGGAAGGUGCUUUUAUUGAACUGUUGGCAUUGUUGUGGUUAUCAUCUCAUUCAGUGUUUAAGGGUGAGGAAGAUGGAUCACCUCUUUAAUUUUUAGGAGAUAUCUGUGAGAACACUAAGAAACUUGUCUAUGUUAAUAGCUGUCUCUCUGGAAUCUCUGAAUUUCUAUUUCUAUUUUCAGUAUGGAUCCAUAGCACACAUUG